CCCCGAUCCGUCCACCGCCCGGGCCCUGCCAUCAGGCUCCUUGGAUAGCUUGGCUUCCGGCACCCUGAUAUGUAGCCCAACACUAUUCUGGAUGUUUCUGGGAGGGUGUUCAUAGAUAAGAUUGACCUUUCAGUUGGUGACAUUCCAAUAAAGCAGAUUGCUCUCCGAAACGUGAGUGGGCCUCUCCCAAUCAGUUGAAGAUCUGAAUCGCAUAAAAGACUAACUUCCCCCAAGCGAGAGGCAAUCCUGCAGCAAACAGCCUUCAGACUCAACUUGCAACAUUGGCUCUUCCUGGUCCCCAGUCUGCCAGACCACCCUGAAGACUCUGGACAUGGCAGCCUCUGUGACUAGGUAAGCCACUUCCUUCAAAUAAGUCUUGUUUUGUAUAUAUAAACAUUCUAUUGGUUCUGUUUCUUUGGGGAAUCCUUCUUUUUUAAAGUUUAUUUAUUUUGAGAAAGAGACAGAGAGAGAGAGUGGGAGGGGCAGAGAGAGAGGGAGAGAGAGAGAAUCCCAAGCAGGCUCACACUGUCAGCGCAGAGCCCCGUGCGGGACGUGACUUCACAAACCGUGAGAUCUUGACGUGAGCUGAAAUCAAGAGUCAGACACUUAACUCACUGAGACACCCAGGUGCCCCUAUCCGGAGAAUCCUAAUACAGAAUAUCCGCUUGAUUUGUUUUAUAGAGUCUUGCUCUCCGUCAAAACUCCCAGUCUGUAAAUCUCUUCUGUUCAACUUUUCCUCGAUUUUAUUGAACACAGUUGUCCUUGUUAAAGUCCUUUUCCGCUAACUCCAUCAUGUGGACCAUCUGUCGGGGUGUGGAUGGCUUUCCCGCUUUUCUAAUUGGUAACAUCCCCUGCCUCUCGGAGAUCCAAGAACUUUUUAUUGCACGCUGGGCAUUGUAUAGAUUAGAACGCUGGAGGCCACGUAUAUGCGCACUCCCUCCUUCCCGGAUCCGUGAGCGCCAAGUACUAAUCGCAUAAACUCCAUCACAAGUGGAGCUUGGUCGGGGCUGGGCUGCACUUGGAGAAAGACUCCCAUAACCUCCCAUUUCUCCCUUUUCCCAGGCAGGCCCCCCACCCCAGCCUCUGGCCGAGAUCCUUCUGGCACGGUGAGCGCGAGAGACCCGGCUCUGCCCGCUCACUGUGUCUUCUGCUCUGCUGGUGAGUCUCUCGCGCGCAGCUUCCAAAUCUGGCCCGUCUCUUCAGAACAGGAUCACACAAGCAGGCUCCUUCCUGGGGUGGGGGUGGGGGUGCUUCCCAGAACCGAGAGGCUGUUGGCAGUGCCUGCAAGGGCGCCGCGUCCUGCGUCCCCACCUCUGCAGCCGCCCGCACAGAAGAAUGUGUUUGCAUCUCUCCAAGUUUCUAGCUGGCUGGGAGAUGGUCGCUGGUUUCCCCUGCCAAGCCGAGUCUCUGGGCCACACCCAUCCCCUGGCGGCGCCCGGGGUUGGCAAACAGCCCCGGGGAAGGAAGGCGCACAGCGCCAGCCCCCCUGGCGGCGUUCCCACCUCUGGUUCCCGGUCCCUCGAUCCCUCGGCUGUCGCUCCUGUCACGGCUCGCCAGCGUAUUUUAGAUACGACAUUUGCAGUCUGGCUUCCCCCUGGCCCGGGGGAAGGCUUGUGACCACAAGGCCCACGUCACCCUCUCGCAUGUGGAAGGCGAAGCCGCUCUGAGGGCUGCGGGGUUGUAGGCUCAUUGCAUCCCGGUUCAUUGGGAUCGUUUUCCACAUCUGCCCUUUUUAUUACUCAUUCUCUAGGAUUUCCAAGUACACCAUCAUCUUGUCUGCAAAUGGAGCUGACCCUACUUCCUUCCAUUCGAGUGCCUGUCAUUGUCCAAUUUUCCAAUUGCCUGGGUGAGUACUUUAAUAGAAUUCCAGAUUAUGAUGGGAGCGUUUCUGGUAUUCUUCUUAUAAUGUAAGAUGAUAACUUCAGGGGGCGCCUGGGUGGCGCAGUCGGUUAAGCGUCCGACUUCAGCCAGGUCACGAUCUCGCGGUCCGUGAGUUCGAGCCCCGCGUCGGGCUCUGGGCUGAUGGCUCAGAGCCUGGAGCCUGUUUCCGAUUCUGUGUCUCCCUCUCUCUCUGCCCCUCCCCCGUUCACGCUCUGUCUCUCUCUGUCCCAAAAAUAAAUAAACGUUGAAAAAAAAAAUUAUUAAAAAAAAAAAUAAAAAAAGAUGAUAACUUCAGGAGAUUAUAUUCUUCUUGAAUAUUUAUUUUUUUAUCUUACGGACAGAGAGUAUGUGCCAGUAGGAGAGAGGGGCAGAGAGAGAGAGAGAGAGAGAGAGACCAUCUCAGCCGGGCUCCACACGCAGCACAGAGCCCAUCGUGGGGCUCGAUUCCACGACCCUGGGAUCAUGAC
rnacentral:lncRNA from 1 species